AAGGGGGUUCAAAUUGUGACUAUGGCAUUGGAUCCCAUUAGACUUUCAAAGUUAAGCAUCCUUGGGUUUGAAUAGUAUUAGGUUGGGUGACUACUUAGGAAGUCCAAGUGACCCCCUCU
rnacentral:rRNA from 1 species